rnacentral:SRP_RNA from 1 species
GCCGGGCGCGGUGGCGGGCGCCUGUAGUCCCAACUACUCGGGAGGCUGAGGCAGGAGAAUGGUGUGAACCCGGGAGGCGGAGCUUGCAGUGAGCUGAGAUCUGGCCACUGCACUCCAGCCUGGGCGGCAGAGCGAGACUCCGUCUCAAAAAAAAAAAAAAAAAAAAAAAAAAGAGAUGGAGUCUCACUCUGUCGCCCAGGCUGGAGUGCAGUGGUGCGAUCUCGGCUCACUGCAAUCUCUGCCUCCUGGGUUCAAGCGAUUCUCUUGCCUUAG